rnacentral:rRNA from 1 species
UACGUAGGGGGCAAGCGUUGUCCGGAAUCAUUGGGCGUAAAGAGCGUGUAGGCGGCCCGAUAAGUCCGCUGUGAAAGUCCAGGGCUCAACCCUGGGAUGCCGGUGGAUACUGUCGGGCUGGAGUCCGGAAGAGGCGAGUGGAAUUCCUGGUGUAGCGGUGAAAUGCGCAGAUAUCAGGAGGAACACCAAUGGCGAAGGCAGCUCGCUGGGACGGUACUGACGCUGAGACGCGAAAGCGUGGGGAGCAAACAGG